rnacentral:tRNA from 1 species
GGAGUCUCCAGCCGAUAGAUGGCGGCGGCAGCGGUCUUGAAAACCGCCUGAGGUAAACUCGUGUGGGUUCGACCCCCACAGGCUCCGC